UGCACUACAGCCUAAGCAGCAAGAGCGAAACUCCACCUCAAAAAAAAAAAAAGUUAUAUAUUAGUAGAGGGAUUGUCUUAGUUGGGUUAAAUAAUCUGCUAGCUACUUUAGUAGGCAAACCUGACUUCUCAGUGAAUUGACACAGGAAAGAUUUCUUCUUCAUUAUAUCAUAGAUGGAUCUCUUUGGUAGCUCACUUUCAAUUCUGGGGCUGAAGAUACUUAACAUUUUGCAACUCUGCCAUCUUAAAGUUUUUUUUGCUUCCAGCACCACAGAUGGGAAAGAUAAAACUAGAGAACUCUUCACACCUGCCAUUUAAAGGCUUGGGCUGAAAAAAGCUUCUAAGUGUUCUUCGUCUACCCGUCACCUGCCUUUGCUGACAACAAUGUGGGAGAGCUAGAAUGCAAGACCAGAUUUCAUCACCUCCAAAGACUGCUUGUCUGCACCAGAUCCAAGCACUGUUUAUAAUGGACAUUUUGAAAAGAUUCCCCAAAUGAAGGGCCAAGUUGGUGGCUCAGGCCAGCACUUUGAGAGGCUGAGGCAAGAGGAUUGUUUGAGGCCAAAACUUCAAGAUCAGCCUGGGUAACAAAGUGAGACCCUGUCUCUAAAAAUAAAAAUAAAUAAUAAAUGUUGACAAGUGUUCCCCAAAUGAGAGAUUUAGCAGAGUGAAUUCUGCAAAGAAGGCCUCUUGCAAACACUCGUUCCUAAACAGUCAGCUCACUGGGGCAAGAGCCAACUCUCUUAAUCUAGCUGAUGUCAGUGUAACCGAAGGCCUAUAAGUCGCGGUGAGAUUCUGUCCACUAGCAGGUCUAGGGCAUGGAGGUAAAGCUAGCUCAUGAUAAGGUGGCCUCAUUUGGCAGCAAAGGCAAAUUGAAGAUUUCUUGAUCCAUAAAUCAGUCUAUAAAAAAUAAGUAAGGCUUUCAACU